AAUAUAUAUGUUACAUGUAAAUCAUAAGAGGGUAGUUUAAUAAGGAGAUAGAUGGGAUGGACAGAGAGUCAAUGAUUAGUAGGCUGUGUAGUACUACCCUGAUAUACUGUCCUGAGACAGGCUGUGUAGUACUACCCUGAUAUACUGUCCUGAGACAGGCUGUGUAGUACUACACUGAUAUACUGUCCUGAGACAGGCUGUGUAGUACUACACUGAUAUACUGUCCUGAGACAGGCUGUGUAGUACUACCCUGAUAUACUGUCCUGAGACAGGCUGUGUAGUACUACCCUGUAUACUGUCCUGAGACAGGCUGUGUAGUACUACCCUGAUAUACUGUCCUGAGACAGGCUGUGUAGUACUACCCUGAUAUACUGUCCUGAGACAGGCUGUGUAGUACUACCCUGAUAUACUGUCCUGAGACAGGCUGUGUAGUACUACCCUGAUAUACUGUCCUGAGACAGGCUGUGUAGUAUUACCCUGAUAUACAGUCCAGAGACAGGCUGUGUAGUACUACCCUGAUAUACUGUCCUGAGACAGGCUGUGUAGUACUACCCUGAUAUACUGUCCUGUCCUGAGACAGGCUGUGUAGUAUUACCCUUAUAUACUGUCCAGAGACAGGCUGUGUAGUACUACCCUGAUAUACUGUCCUGAGACAGGCUGUGUAGUACUACCCUGAUGUACUGUCCUGAGACAGGCUGUGUAGUACUACACUGAUAUAAUGUACUGUCCUGAGACAGGCUGUGCAGUACUACCCUGAUAAACUGUAAAGAGACAGGCUGUGUAGUACUACCCUGAUAUACUGUCCUGAAACAGGCUGUGUAGUACUACCCUGAUAUACUGUCCUGAAACAGGCUGUGUAGUACUACCCUGAUAUACUGUCCUGAGACAGGCUGUGUAGUACUACCCUGAUAUACUGUCCUGAGACAGGCUGUGUAGUACUAUCCUGAUAUACUGUCCUGAGACAGGCUGUGUAGUACUACCCUGAUAUAAUGUACUGAGACAGGCUGUGUAGUACUACCCUGAUAUAAUGUACUGUCCUGAGACAGGCUGUGUAGUACUACCCUGAUAACUGUCCUGAGACUGGCUGUAUGUAUUAUGGAUGGAUAGUCUGAUCUAUACAGUAUGUACUCAUGGAUGGAUGAUCUAUACAGUAUGUAGUCAUGGAGGGAUGAUCUAUAC
rnacentral:lncRNA from 1 species